AGGAAGCUCCCAAAUUCUUUUCUGACUUAACCUAUCUUCCGAAGGAGUCAUUAUUGCCUUCACCUCGGUUCCCUUCCCUCUCUUCUGUCUGUCUAUGCAAAGUGAAUUUGUUGAGCCUAGUGAACACAGGGACUGUGCAGGGUCCCAGGGACACAGAGUGGACAAAACAGUCUGAAUCCUUGUCCCCAUGGAACCAAGAGUCCAUUGUCUAGGCUUGAAACGUGGGAGCGUCUGCUCCAGCUACGGCCACAGGGUUUUGGAAAAUGAUGAAAAUGUAGAAGAAGGGAAUGAAGAAGAGGAUUUGGAAGAGGAUAUUCCCAAGCGAAAGAACAGGACUAGAGGACGGG
rnacentral:lncRNA from 10 species